rnacentral:rRNA from 1 species
AUUGAACGCUGGCGGAAUGCUUUACACAUGCAAGUCGAACGGCAGCACGGACUUCGGUCUGGUGGCGAGUGGCGAACGGGUGAGUAAUGUAUCGGAACGUGCCCAGUCGUGGGGGAUAACGUAGUGAAAAUUACGCUAAUACCGCAUACGAUCUAUGGAUGAAAGCGGGGGAUCGCAAGACCUCGCGCGAUUGGGGCGGCCGAUAUCAGAUUAGGUAGUUGGUGGGGUAAAGGCCCACCAAGCCAACGAUCUGUAGCUGGUCUGAGAGGACGACCAGCCACACUGGAACUGAGACACGGUCCAGACUCCUACGGGAGGCAGCAGCGGGGAAUUUUGGACAAUGGGCGAAAGCCUGAUCCAGCCAUUCCGCGUGCAGGAUGAAGGCCCUCGGGUUGUAAACUGCUUUUGUACAGAACGAAAAGGUUUCUACUAAUACUAGGAGCUCAUGACGGUACUGUAAGAAUAAGCACCGGCUAACUACGUGCCAGCAGCCGCAGUAA